rnacentral:rRNA from 1 species
GACGAACGCUGGCGGCGUGCUUAACACAUGCAAGUCGAACGAAGAGCGAUGGAAGCUUGCUUCUAUCAAUCUUAGUGGCGAACGGGUGAGUAACGCGUAAUCAACCUGCCCUUCAGAGGGGGACAACAGUUGGAAACGACUGCUAAUACCGCAUACGAUCCAACCUCGGCAUCGAGGAUAGAUGAAAGGUGGCCUCUAUUUAUAAGCUAUCACUGAAGGAGGGGAUUGCGUCUGAUUAGCUAGUUGGAGGGGUAACGGCCCACCAAGGCGAUGAUCAGUAGCCGGUCUGAGAGGAUGAACGGCCACAUUGGGACUGAGACACGGCCCAGACUCCUACGGGAGGCAGCAGUGGGGAAUCUUCCGCAAUGGACGAAAGUCUGACGGAGCAACGCCGCGUGAGUGAUGACGGCCUUCGGGUUGUAAAGCUCUGUUAAUCGGGACGAAAGGCCUUCUUGCGAAUAGUUAGAAGGAUUGACGGUACCGGAAUAGAAAGCCACGGCUAACUACGUGCCAGCAGCCGCGGUAAU